UACGUAGGGUGCAAGCGUUAAUCGGAAUACUGGGCGUAAAGCGUGCGCAGGCGGUGAUGUAAGACAGAUGUGAAAUCCCUGGGCUCAACCUAGGAACUGCGUUUGAAACUACAAGGCUAGAGUGUAGCAGAGGGGGGGUAGAAUUCCACGUGUAGCAGUGAAAUGCGUAGAGAUGUGGAGGAAUACCGAUGGCGAAGGCAGCCCCCCUGGGAUAACACUGACGCUCAUGCACGAAAGCGUGGGGGAGCAAACAGG
rnacentral:rRNA from 1 species